rnacentral:lncRNA from 1 species
GAUCGCAUGAGGGUUUGAAACCCCGGUUUAUCGCAUCGUGACGCUAUGUUAGGGCGUGACUUGCACCCCAUUGCAGAUACGGGCUUGUAAAUGAUUUGGGAUUGUGACGUGGUCCAUCCUGAAAGCUGAACAAAUUAUUGGCGUCUGAUACGCAUAGUGUGGUGUUGAUAAUUGGGCUUAAUGCCAUGUUAGGGGCCUUGCGCCAAUCUGUAGUAACCUUCUAUGGUGAAUAUCUGUGUGAUGACAUAAUUGCAUAAUCAUUGUUCUCAGUCCUGUGUUUAAUCACUGAAAUCAAAUGCUAAGUCACUUUCCCUGAAAUUUAAUAAUUAAAUUAUAUUUGCCUUAAAAAUCGGAAAAAUUGGAAUUUAGAUUGAAUACGUUUAUGUGACUCAUAUGCAUAUUGUGGACUGAGCAUGGGUCGGGCUGCACGAUCCGCAGCGGUACAUGCAUACUAUGGACUGGCUGGUUGGCUCAGGCUGCAUGCUGCAACGGUUAUAUAUUGAAAUUGAGGCCGAGUGCCUGUUCUUAGCCGAUACAUGGGUGAUAUUGCGCUUGGGCUGAAGGAGCCCCUCCGGAGUCUGUACACACCCCAGUGAGCGCCAUCGACGUUAAAUGGAUCGGCUGCACGUUCCGCAUCGAAUUCAUGGGCAUUGCAUUGCAUUUUUAUCUGAUACUUGGUUGUUGUUGUGAUACUGUUAUGAUGUUAGCAUGUAGCUAAGUUAUAGGAUUGUUAGUUAUAGCUUUGCGUUGUGGUCUUUCGUGGAUUUCUUACUUUCAGUCAUUUUCUAUACUUAUUAUCCAUUGAGUCGGUAGUACUCACCCCUACUCCCUGCACCUUGUGUGCAG